AGCGAACGCCGGCGGCAGGCCUAACACAUGCAAGUCGAACGAACUCUUCGGAGUUAGUGGCGGACGGGUGAGUAACACGUGGGAACGUGCCUUUAGGUUCGGAAUAACUCAGGGAAACUUGUGCUAAUACCGAAUGUGCCCUUCGGGGGAAAGAUUUAUCGCCUUUAGAGCGGCCCGCGUCUGAUUAGCUAGUUGGUGAGGUAAAGGCUCACCAAGGCGACGAUCAGUAGCUGGUCUGAGAGGAUGAUCAGCCACAUUGGGACUGAGACACGGCCCAAACUCCUACGGGAAGCAGCAGUGGGGAAUCUUGCGCAAUGGGCGAAAGCCUGACGCAGCCAUGCCGCGUGAAUGAUGAAGGUCUUAGGAUUGUAAAAUUCUUUCACCGGGGACGAUAAUGACGGUACCCGGAGAAGAAGCCCCGGCUAACUUCGUG
rnacentral:rRNA from 1 species